ACUUUAAACAUUUACUGUAUUUUUGGAGAAACUCCUGUUCCUUGUCUUAUUGCUACGUUAACUAGCUGUUGGCUGUAACCUCAUAAUGCAACUAACUGGUGAAUAUACAGUGUACAGCUUCAUAUGCUACAUUAAGCUAACUAGCCGUUUCAUUGCUGUCAACCCUCCCGUUUCAAAAAAAAAAAAUACUGUAUCGUGCCCUCUUUUCAGGUGCCCUUCUGUUUUAGUUCCUUUUACUUUAGCUGUGAUAGGCUCCAGCAUACCCCCGUCACAUUACUGAGGCUAAGCGGCAUAGAAGAUGGAUGGAUGGAUGUUAGGAAGAUGAGACUUCCCGAAUCCCACCGCCUGCCACCCUGAGGUCCUGCCCUUAUCUUAUGUCCGUCCUAGCAGGCCCAGAUGGCAAGCCCUUUCUUGUGCAAAGAUUGUCCAGAUAGCUGCUUCCGCCUUACCGCUUUACUCAUCUUCUCACCAUGAGAAAGAGCCAGCAGAGUGAAGCUGCUGCAUUGUGAGUGGGAGUUACAGAUGUACGCUGCCUCUCGUGCACUGUGCACAGACAGCACACAGCCAUGUUGACUGUAGGACGGCCAGCAGCGAUACUCCGCGUUCCCUGACGUCGUCAUGUUUGACAUCACGCUGUAAUCUGAACACAAAAGAAGGUCAUGUCAUGUAAGUACACAAUAUCAUGAAGGAUGUGUAUGCGCUAGUAUGUCACCAUGGCCUUCUUAUUUUUUAACAAAACAUUUUCUUUGAAAACAAACACAU